GGCUCAAUGGUCUAGUGGUAUGAUUCUCGCUUUGGGUUCUGACUUGAAGUUGCGAGAGGCCCCGGGUUCGAAUCCCGGUUGAGCCC